rnacentral:lncRNA from 1 species
CAGUGAUCAAAAAAUAAAUAAAAAUAAAUAAAUAUAUAAACAUUACUUAGGUGAUUAUGUGGAAUGCUGCCAUGCUUUACUUCAGCGUGCAGAUUUUUACUUGCUCUCUCGCACUGUCUCCCUCUCUCAUGCUGUUUCUCCAUCUCUCAAUGUCUCUUGCUGUCUCUCGCUCACUUUCCCUCUCUUGCAUUGUCUCGCCCUCUCUCACGCUGUCUCUCCCUCUUCUGCAUUGUCUCUCCCUCUUGUGUUGUCUCUCCCUCUCUUGUGUUGUCUCUCCCUCUCUUGCACUUUCUCUCCCUCUCUUGUGUUGUCUCUCCCUCUCUGGUGUUGUCUCUCGCUCUCUUGCAUUGUCUCUUGCUCUCUCUUGCUGUCUUUCACUUACUCGCACUUACUCACGCUAUUUCUCUCUCUCUCUCACUCACUCUCGCUAUUUCUCGCUCUCUCUCACUCUCACUGUCUCUUGCUCACUCGCGCUAUUUCUCGCUCUCUCUCACUCACACUUGCUGUCUCUCCCUCUCUUGCUCACUCAUGCUUUUUCUCGCUCUUUCUCCCUCUCUCGUGCUGUCUCUCCCUCUCUUGCGGUGUCUCUACCUCUCUCGCACUGUUUCCCUCUCUCCCACUGUCUCCCUCUCUCGUGCUGUUUCUCCAUCUCUCGCAAUGUCUCUUGCUGUCUCUCGCUCACUUUCCCUCUCUUGCAUUGUCUCGCCCUCUCUCACGCUGUCUCUCCCUCUCUUGCAUUGUCUCUCCCUCUCUUGUGUUGUCUCUCGCUCUCUUGCAUUGUCUCGCCCUCUCUCACGUUGUCUCUCGCUCUCUUGUGUUGUCUCUCGCUCUCUUGCGCUGUCUCUUGCUCUCUCUUGCUGUCUUUCACUUACUCGCAUUGUAUCUUGCUUACUCGCCCUAUUUCUCGCUCUCUCUCACUCGCUCUCGCUGUCUCUCCCUCUCUUGCUCACUCACGCUAUUUCUCGCUCUUUCUCACUCGCUCUCGCUGUCUCUCCCUCUCUUGCUCACGCACACUAUUUCUCGCUCUUUCUCACUCGCUCUUGCUGUCUCUCCCUCUCUCUUGCACUGUCUCUCCCUCUCUUUUGCAUUGUCUCUCACUCGCGAUGUCUCUUACUCACUUGCACAUUUCCCUCUCUUUCUUGCACUCUACCCUGAAAUAUUAUAAUACAAUUAAGUAAACCAGAAGUAAACCAGACGUAAACCACUAUACCAUAUUAUUACUGUCUCCCUCCCAAAAAU